GGCGGCAGCGGGGCUGGGCUGGGCUGGGUCGCGUCGCGUUUGGAGUGCUGGGGCCAUGGCUUCCUGGGCCGCUUUUUCGCCCAGCAUCGUGGAGUAUUUCGAGGGCGAAGACUCCUACCGCUGCGGCUAUUGCAAGAAUGAGUCGGGCAGUCGCUCCAAUGGCAUGUGGGCGCAUUCCAUGACCGUACAGGAUUAUCAGGAUCUUAUAGAUCGAGGAUGGCGAAGAAGUGGGAAAUAUGUGUACAAGCCUGUCAUGAAUCAAACAUGUUGUCCUCAGUACACAAUAAGGUGCCGACCUUUACAGUUUCAGCCAUCAAAAUCUCACAAGAAGGUUUUGAAAAAAAUGUUGAAAUUUCUGGCUAAAGGGGAAAUUUCCAAAGGAAAUUGUGAGGAUGAGCCCAUGGAGCCCAGCAUGGACGAGAGCGUUGCAGGUGACUUUGCAUUAAUAAAUAAAUUGGAUAUACAGUGUGACCAUAAAACACUCAGUGAUGACCUCAAAGAGACCUUUGAGAGUGGGGAGAAGAAGAAAGGAAAAAGCCCAAAGAAAGAAGAACCUAAGGAAUUAAUUCAAUCACAACAUAUAGAGGAGAAGUUGGGCUCUGGUGAGCCAUCCCAUCCAGUUAAAGUACACAUGGCUCCUAAGCCAGGCAAAGGGGCAGAUUUGAGUAAGCCUCCAUGUCGGAAAGCAAAGGAAAUCCGAAAAGAAAGGAAAAGGUUAAAACUCAUGCAGCAGAACCCAGCUGGAGAACUUGAGGGUUUCCAGGCUCAAGGUGAACCACCAUCUUUGUUCCCACCAAAGGCUAAUAAAUCCAACCAGCCCAAAUCACUUGAAGAUUUAAUUUUUGAAUCUUUACCAGAGAAUGCAUCACACAAGUUAGAGGUGAGGGUGGUGAGAUCAUCUCCACCAAGUUCUCAGUUCAAAGCCACAUUUCAGGAGUCUUACCAGGUCUAUAAACGUUACCAGAUGGUUAUUCACCAGGACCCACCUGAUAAACCAACUGUGAGCCAGUUUACAAGGUUCCUUUGCAGCUCCCCUCUGGAGGCUGAGAACCCCCCUCAUGGACCAGAUUGUGGUUAUGGCUCCUUUCACCAGCAGUACUGGCUUGAUGGAAGAAUCAUUGCUGUGGGAGUGAUUGACAUCCUUCCAUACUGUGUAUCUUCUGUCUAUUUGUACUAUGAUCCUGAUUAUUCAUUCCUGUCUUUGGGUGUCUACUCCGCACUACGAGAAAUUGGUUUUACUAGGCAACUUCAUCAGAAAACAUCUCAACUCAGCUAUUAUUAUAUGGGUUUCUACAUUCAUUCAUGUCCCAAGAUGAAAUAUAAGGGUCAGUAUAGACCUUCUGAUUUGUUGUGUCCUGAGACGUAUGUUUGGGUGCCCAUUGAGCAGUGCCUGUCGUUGCUUGAGAAUUCCAAGUACUGCCGUUUCAACCAGGACCCAGAAGCAGAAACAUGAUUGGGUGAUACGCUUGUGAUUAUUAAACAUAUGAUGUGGAAAGUGAAAAUCCCACAACGCAUCCCAGCGCAAGGGAGCUUGCUCACACACGCCCACAUGCCUGGCUCUGCGGAGGACUUUCUAGUGGAAAAGGAAACAGGCAAUAACUACGUAUGUCACGUGGUAGUCAGUGCAAUGAAGGCAGUUAAGGAGCGCAAGGGGAGCCGGGGCGCUGGUUUAUAGAGAGUCCGGGAAGACCCUCUGAGGAGCCAACCUCUGACGUCAUCUGAGGAAGCAGGAGGGUGAGCCGGGUUUUUUCUGGGGGAAAGAAAGGGUCUUUCUAGGCAAAGGGAAUGGAGAGAAGUAACUGUAAAAAGGCUGAUGCGUAUUCGCUCUGAUUUGUUGUGUGCACAUACUAGGCUUAUAAAGAACAGUAAUUUACCUUGUGCCUCCGUUUUUUUUUUUUUCCACUUAACAAUCUGCCUUCCUUUGUCUUUUUGAUAGCUGUGUAGCAUUUUAUCACAUGCCUGUACCUUAAGACAUCUGGCCAGUUCUCCGUUGGUGAACCCGUGCGUUGUUUCCAGGUCCUCGGUACCGCUGAGUGUGGCUCUAAACCCGCUUAUGCUCGCAUAUAAAUACUGACGUGUGUGUUUCUCUGUUCUCAACCCACCU